rnacentral:pre_miRNA from 1 species
UGAAAAAACUUGCUUGGAAUUAGGUCCACCACCUUACAGUUCUGUCAAGGGUUGAGCCAUUGCUCUUGAAGAAUUGCAGGUGGUAGGUUCUGUCCAGGAAACA